ACUCCUGCGGGAGGCAGCAGUGGGGAAUUUUACGCACUGGGGGAAACCCUGACGUAGCGACACCGCGUGAGCGAAGAAGCCCUUUGGGGUGUAAAGCUCUGUCAGCUGGAACGAAAACAAUGACGGUACCAGCAGAGGAAGCAUCGGCUAACUACGUGCCAGCAGCCGCGGUAAGACGUAGGAUGCGAGCGUUGUCCGGAUUUAUUGGGCGUAAAGAGUUCGUAGGUGGUUUGUUAAGUUUGGUGUUAAAGAUCGGGGCUCAACCCUGGGACUGCACUGAAUACUGGCAGACUCGAGUGUGGUAGAGGCUAGUGGAAUUCCCAGUGUAGCGGUGAAAUGCGUAGAUAUUGGGAAGAACACCGGUGGCGUAGGCGACUAGCUGGGCCAUAACUGACGCUGAGGAACGAAAGCCAGGGGAGCGAAUGGGAUUAGAAACCCCAGUAGUCCC
rnacentral:rRNA from 1 species